rnacentral:rRNA from 1 species
AUGGCCAUCCAGACUGGCAGGGAGCGGAGGUGGACACAAAGGUGGACGUUGAGUCUCAACAGUGCGCUCGUAGUAAGAGCAGCACGAGCAAAGAAGAUCCUGGAUAUACUUCUCUUAGAAAAUAAAGAAGCCAUCAGAGGUAGAAGAAACCUCAUUCUCAAGGAAGUAGCGAAGAGGACCAAGAUCAUACAUAAGAAAUUCACUAUGACAAGCCUUCACAAAGGCAAUGUAAGAGUUGUCCCUAGUGAUGAUCGACAUAUGGAACAAAUGUUAGACCACAAGUUGGUUGGUGGACAGAAUAUGCAGGAUCAUGAGCACUCACUAAAAACCAGCCGCAUUCACUGCUGA